GAGGGUAUAGCUCAGUGGUAGAGCACAUGCUUAGCAUGCACAAGGUCCUGGGUUCAAUCCCUAGUACCGCUA
rnacentral:tRNA from 1 species